AGCAAGUCUCUGAAGAAUAUUCAUUAAACAUUCUCAGCAUCCACUGGCUUCCAGAUACCCUGCUAGGUGCCCAGGAUAGUGUAAAAAGUGAAUAGAGAACUCAUGAAUGUUUCCCGAGUAUUACUUUUGCCCCUUUUAUGACUGUCCUAUAUACCCACUGUGGCACCGUUUAUCCCUUACUUAGUCUGUGGGAAUUUUUCUUCAUUAUGUAACCACAUCCCAAUUUUCCAGGCUUUCAUACUUUCAGAACUUAGUUACUUCUUAAUUGGCUUACCCAGUAAACUAAUUGGGUCUACCCAUUAGUGAAUGAAAGUACUAAUGAAGAAUAAAGUACCAAUAAUGAAGAAUGCAUUACUCUUCCCAUGAAAUGUUUGUGUUUGUUUUUAUGUGUGGGUUUUAAUAGUAACCUGCAAUACCUUAAUUUAAAGUAAUAAAUAAAAUGAAAGUUUGAGGCACUUGACUAGCCUUUUGAGUUGAAAAGAUGUCUAUUGAUGGGUCGGAACUGAGGGCCCCUUCCUGGUAAGUCCUCAUUCAAUGAACCAGCAUCUUAAUUUGUUUACAGAGUGGCCUGCCUUGACAUCUACUGCCUCCUGAAAUUUGACAACCUAUUCUGAUAUGUGUUUAUCCACGAAUGUAAUAGUGCUACAAUAUGGAGUAAUUCAUCCAGUGGUCACAGUAAUUAGUCUAUACUUUGGGUAUAAGGAAUGGUAUUAAGAUCUGCAGAUAAGAACAUCCAGUCAAGAUGAAGGCAUAGGUAGACACACUUUGCCUCCUUGUACAACCAUAACAAAGAUCGCAACUAACCUCAAAACAAAAAAUACCCGAACUG